GAUGAACGCUAGCGAUAGGCUUAACACAUGCAAGUCGAGGGGCAGCAUUAUUUUAGCUUGCUAAGAUAGAUGGCGACCGGCGCACGGGUGCGUAACGCGUAUGCAACCUGCCUGUAAUUAGGGAAUAACCCGGUGAAAGUCGGACUAAUACCCUAUAUUCUUCUUUCUCCGCAUGGGGAAGGACGGAAAGAUUUAUUGAUUACAGAUGGGCAUGCGUCCCAUUAGCUUGUUGGUAAGGUAACGGCUUACCAAGGCAACGAUGGGUAGGGGGACUGAGAGGUUGACCCCCCACACUGGUACUGAGACACGGACCAGACUCCUACGGGAGGCAGCAGUGAGGAAUAUUGGUCAAUGGGCGAGAGCCUGAACCAGCCAAGUCGCGUGAAGGACGACGGUUCUAUGGAUUGUAAAACUUCUUUUGUAGAGGAAAUAAAUGCUCAG
rnacentral:rRNA from 1 species